rnacentral:rRNA from 1 species
AAUGGGGGCAACCCUGAUCCAGCCAUGCCGCGUGAGUGAAGAAGGCCUUAGGGUUGUAAAGCUCUUUCGGCGGGGACGAUGAUGACGGUACCCGCAGAAGAAGCCCCGGCUAACUUCGUGCCAGCAGCCGCGGUAAUACGAAGGGGGCAAGCGUUGUUCGGAUUUACUGGGCGUAAAGGGCGCGUAGGCGGAUCUUUAAGUCAGAGGUGAAAGCCCUGGGCUCAACCCGGGAAUUGCCUUUGAGACUGGGGAUCUUGAGUAUGGGAGAGGGUGGCGGAAUACCCAGUGUAGAGGUGAAAUUCGUAGAUAUUGGGUAGAACACCAGUGGCGAAGGCGGCCACCUGGCCCAUAACUGACGCUGAGGCGCGAAAGCGUGGGGAGCAAA